rnacentral:rRNA from 1 species
GAUGAACGCUGGCGGCGUGCCUAAUACAUGCCAGUCGAGCGAACAGACGAGGAGCUUGCUCCUCUGACGUUAGCGGCGGACGGGUGAGUAACACGUGGAUAACCUACCUAUAAGACUGGGAUAACUUCGGGAAACCGGCGCUAAUCCCGGAUAAUCUCUUGAACCGCAUGGUUCAAUAGUGAAAGACGGUGUUGCUGUCACUUCUAGCUGGAUCCGCGCUGCAUUAGAUAGUUGGUAAGGUAACGGCUUACCAAGGCAACGAUGCGUAGCCGACCUGAGAGGGUGAUCGGCCACCCUGGAACGGGGACACGGUCAAGACGCCUACGGGAGGCAGCAGUAGGGAAUCGGCCGCAAUGGGCGAAAGCAUGACGGAGCAACGCCGAGUGAGUGAUGACGGUGUUGGGAGCGUAAAAAUCUGUUACUAGGGAAGAACAAAUGUGUAAGUAACUAUGCACGUCGUGACGGUAACGAAUCAGAAAGCAACGGCUAACUACGUG